rnacentral:misc_RNA from 1 species
GAUGAAGAACGUAGCGAAAUGCGAUAAGUAAUGUGAAUUGCAGAAUUCUGUGAAUCAUCGAAUCUUUGAACGCACAUUGCGCCCGCCAGUAUUCUGGCGGGCAUGCCUGUUCGAGCGUCAUUUCAACCAUCAAGCCCCAGGCUUGUGUUGGAGCCCUGCGGCUGCCGCAGCCUCCCAAAACCAGUGGCGGGCUCGCUAUCACACCGAGUGCAGUAGUUUACUCUUCGCUCAGGGCGUGUGGCGGGUGCUAGCCGUAAAACCCCCAACUUCUCAAGGUUGACCUCGGAUCAGGUAGGAAUACCCGCUGAACUUAAGCAUAUCAAUAAGCGGAGGA